rnacentral:rRNA from 1 species
AAGACGCCUGAUGGAGGGGGAUAACUACUGGAAACGGUAGCUAAUACCGCAUAACGUCGCAAGACCAAAGAGGGGGACCUUCGGGCCUCUUGCCAUCGGAUGUGCCCAGAUGGGAUUAGCUAGUAGGUGGGGUAACGGCUCACCUAGGCGACGAUCCCUAGCUGGUCUGAGAGGAUGACCAGCCACACUGGAACUGAGACACGGUCCAG